UGGGGAAUUUUGCACAAUGGGCGCAAGCCUGAUGCAGCGACGCCGCGUGAGGGAUGAAGGCCUUCGGGUUGUAAACCUUUUUCGCUCAUGGUCAAGCCGCAGCUUUGGGUUGUGGUGAGGGUAGUGGGUAAAGAAGCGCCGGCUAACUACGUGCCAGCAGCCGCGGUAAUACGUAGGGCGCGAGCGUUGUCCGGAAUUAUUGGGCGUAAAGGGCUUGUAGGCGGUUGGCCGCGUCUGCCGUGAAAUCCUCUGGCUUAACUGGGGGCGUGCGGUGGGUACGGGUUGACUUGAGUGCGGUAGGGGAGACUGGAAUUCCUGGUGUAGCGGUGGAAUGCGCAGAUAUCAGGAGGAACACCGGCGGCGAAGGCGGGUCUCUGGGCCGUUACUGACGCUGAGGAGCGAAAGCGUGGGGAGCGAACAGG
rnacentral:rRNA from 1 species